UACGGGGGGGGCAAGCGUUGUUCGGAAUUACUGGGCGUAAAGGGCUCGUAGGCGGCCAACUAAGUCAGACGUGAAAUCCCUCGGCUUAACCGGGGAACUGCAUCUGAUACUGGAUGGCUUGAGUUCGGGAGAGGGAUGCGGAAUUCCAGGUGUAGCGGUGAAAUGCGUAGAUAUCUGGAGGAACACCGGUGGCGAAGGCGGCAUCCUGGACCGACACUGACGCUGAUGAGCGAAAGCCAGGGGAGCAAACGGG
rnacentral:rRNA from 1 species